CCCACUAGAGACCGAGACCCUGGACAUACUCAGUAACCCUCCAAGAUUCAGAUCCAGCCACCACCAAUGAACCACUGCUGCCCGUUACAGUUGAUUCCCUGGACCAGACCACCUUCCCACACUCUGAUAAUUGUGUACCUUAAUAAAUCACUUAAACUGAU